ACAAUGGAGAGUUUGAUCCUGGCUCAGGAUGAACGCUGGCUACAGGCUUAACACAUGCAAGUCGAGGGGCAUCAUGCGGGUUGCUUGCAACCUGUGAUGGCGACCGGCGGAUGGGUGAGUAACGCGUAUCCAACCUUCCCUUAACCGGGGCAUAACCUGCCGAAAGGCAGACUAAUUCCCCAUGCACUCC
rnacentral:ncRNA from 1 species